UACAGAGGCCUCGAGCGUUAGGCGGAAUCACUGGGCUUAAAGCGUGUGUAGGCGGACUUCUAAGUACCUUGUGAAAUCCCACGGCUCACCCGUGGAACUGCUAGGUAUACUGGUCGUCUUGAGCCUUCUAGGGGCUACCGGAACAAAUGGUGGAGCGGUGAAAUGCGUAGAUAUCAUUUGGAACGCCAAUGGUGAAAACAGGUAGCUGGGGAAGUGCUGACGCUGAGACACGAAAGCCAGGGGAGCGAACGGG
rnacentral:rRNA from 1 species